CCUACGGGUGGCAGCAGUGAGGAAUAUUGGUCAAUGGACGCGAGUCUGAACCAGCCAAGUAGCGUGAAGGAUGACUGCCCUACGGGUUGUAAACUUCUUUUAUAAAGGAAUAAAACGAGGCACGUGUGCCUUUUUGCAUGCACUUUAUGAAUAAGGAUCGGCUAACUCCUUGCCAGCAGCCGCGGUAAUACGGAGGAUCCGGGCGUUUGCCGGAGUUAUUGGGGUUAAAGGGAGCGUCGAUGGGGUGUUAAGUCAGUUGUGAAAGUUUGCGGCUCAACCGUAUAAUUGCACUUGAUACUGGCUGCCUUGAGUACAGAUGAGGUAGGCGGAAUGCGUGGUGUAGCGGUGAAAUGCUUAGAUAUCAUGAAGAACUCCGAUCGCGAAGGCAGCUUAC
rnacentral:rRNA from 1 species